rnacentral:lncRNA from 1 species
AGUCUGAAGCAGAAGGAAAAGGAGUAGACAUGGUGAGGAGCUGGUGCUACGGGGACACACAUGUGGGCAGACACUGCAAAUGUGGCCCUAACAGAAUUUCCCCUCAUGGCUGGUUCCUUAAAAUGACUUGUAAGGAGGGAAGAUGUAAGUUUUCCACCCUGCUGUAGGCACAGAGCAUCCUGACCUUCCCUUGCUGAUGUGGUAGGACAGGAACCAAGGGCACAGGUGAGGUGGAGACUGAGCUGGCCCAACCUUCAUCCCCACCAAAGAAAGGACAUAGUUCAUCCUGAACUCCUAAGAAAGCUGAGCUAGAAUGGGCCAGUGAUUUAACUCCAGCAGAGAGGAGUAGAAGCAGAGAAGAGGGAAGAUAGAGGAGGAAAGAGGAAAAGAGUAAGAAGAAAGGGAUAGAGAAGCCCCUCCCACCACCCCAGACCAAAGUAACAGCUGCAAUUUCUCCCUUGGAGAAUAUGAAGAGAAAAAAAGAGGAGGCUAAGGAUCUAUAUCUGUUGAGCUGGUAAUGGAACCAGUGAUGGAAUAUUCCAUGGCCACCAGGCUAUCACCUGGAUCAACUCCUUCUGCCUCGACCCAGCCAUUCUACCCUGGGAAGUGCCUCAACCACUGGCCAGGAAGCCUGAGUUCUGUUCCAGGUUCUGCCACUGACCUGCUAAGCAAUCCUCGACUGCGCAUUUACCUUCUCAGGGCUCUGCUUCCCCAUGCGUAAAAGGGAGACAGUAAUACAUCCCCAUCCUCCACACGGUCCGCUGCCCAGGGGUCACAAAGAUCACACGAGACAACAGAUUUUUAAAGCUAAACAUGCUUUAUAAGCAUAAGACCUUAUAAAUGUUAUUUCUAUUUAGAUGGCUUGAGGAAAGAAAUAAAAAUAAUUUGGGGGGAGGGUAUCGACUCAAAAUGAGCCUGCACUUAUGAGGGAAGGAAGAAGGGAAGGAUGGGCUGGGGCAAAUUUCACCCUACGGACUGAGAAAGUGCUCUCUUUCUACAUGUGCCUGGAAGUGUUGAGACGAUCAGAGGAAAU